rnacentral:rRNA from 1 species
UACGUAUGGUGCAAGCGGUAAUCGGAAUUACUGGGCGUAAAGCGUGCGCAGGCGGUUUUGUAAGUCUGUCGUGAAAGCCCCGGGCUCAACCUGGGAAUUGCGAUGGAGACUGCAAGGCUUGAAUCUGGCAGAGGGGGGUAGAAUUCCACGUGUAGCAGUGAAAUGCGUAGAGAUGUGGAGGAACACCGAUGGCGAAGGCAGCCCCCUGGGUCAAGAUUGACGCUCAUGCACGAAAGCGUGGGGAGCAAACAGG